rnacentral:rRNA from 1 species
GACGAACGCUGGCGGCGUGCCUAAUACAUGCAAGUCGAACGCAAUGGGGACGGGUGAGUAACACGUGGGUAACCUCCCAUCAGAGGGGAUAACACUUGGAAACAGGUGCUAAACCGAUACUGAUGGAUGAACCCGCGGUGCAUUAGCUAGUUGGUGAGGUAACGGCUCACCAAGGCCACGAGCCAUACCCGCCCUGAGAGUGUGACCGGCCACACUGGGACUGAGACACGGCCCAGACUCCUACGGGAGUCAGCAGUGGGGAAUCUUCGGCAAUGGACGAAAGUCUGACCGAGCAACGCCGCGUGUGUGAAGAAGGUUUUCGGAUCGUAAAGCUCUUUUGUUAGAGAAGCGUUAUCUAACCAGAAAGCCACGGCUAACUACGUGCCAGCCGCCGCGGUAAUAC